ACUCCUACGGGAGGCAGCAGUGGGGAAUAUUGGACAAUGGGGGAAACCCUGAUCCAGCCAUGCCGCGUGUGUGAAGAAGGCCUUCGGGUUGUAAAGCACUUUCAGUGGGGAGGAAAGGUUGAUGGUUAAUACCUAUCAGCUGUGACGUUACCCACAGAAGAAGCACCGGCUAACUCCGUGCCAGCAGCCGCGGUAAUACGGAGGGUGCAAGCGUUAAUCGGAAUUACUGGGCGUAAAGCGUGCGCAGGCGGUCUGUUAAGCGAGAUGUGAAAGCCCCGGCUGCACCUGGGAAGCAUGCAUUCGAACUUGGCAGACUGAGAGUCUUGUAGAGGGGGU
rnacentral:rRNA from 1 species